AUUGAACGCUGGCGGCAGGCUUAACACAUGCAAGUCGAACGAGUGGCGGACGGGUGAGUAAUGCUUGGGAAUCUCGUUUAUGGAGGGGGAUAACUACGGGAAACUGUAGCUAAUCCCGCUUACCAUAGGCUGAGCCCAAGUGGGAUUAGGUAGUUGGUGAGGUAAAGGCUCACCAAGCCGACGAUCUCUAGCUGGUCUGAGAGGAUGACCAGCCACACUGGUACUGAGACACGGCCCAGACUCCUACGGGAGGCAGCAGUGGGGAAUAUUGCGCAAUGGGGGCAACCUGACGCAGCCAUGCCGCGUGAAUGAAGAAGGCCUUCGGGUUGUAAAGUUCUUUCGUUAGCGAGGCGUUAACUACAGAAGAAGCACCGGCUAACUCCGUGCCAGCAGCCGCGGUAAUUC
rnacentral:rRNA from 1 species